rnacentral:lncRNA from 1 species
UACAUGCUGGUGGGAGAAGCAGACUACUGAUGGGAACUCAAACAGACCACCUUCCCUGUUCCAAUUACUUGGGAAUAGUUCCUAGUAGCCUUUCAUACAGAGUACCUCCCAGAGCACAUCUGACAUCUGAAGGAGAUGAAGUUUAUCCAGUUGGUCCAGGAAAACAUGACUAUGUCAGAAUAUGCUCGCAAGUUCCUGGAGUUGGACCGAUACUCCCCU